ACGAACGCUGGCGGCGUGCUUCACACAUGCAAGUCGCACGGAAAGGCCCUGCUUUUGUGGGGUGCUCGAGUGGCGAACGGGUGAGUAACACGUGAGUAACCUGUCCUUGACUUUGGGAUAACUUCAGGAAACUGGGGCUAAUACCGGAUAGGAGCUCCUGCUGCAUGGUGGGGGUUGGAAAGUUUCGGCGGUUGGGGAUGGACUCGCGGCUUAUCAGCUUGUUGGUGGGGUAGUGGCUUACCAAGGCUUUGACGGGUAGCCGGCCUGAGAGGGUGACCGGCCACAUUGGGACUGAGAUACGGCCCAGACUCCUACGGGAGGCAGCAGUGGGGAAUAUUGCACAAUGGGCGGAAGCCUGAUGCAGCAACGCCGCGUGCGGGAUGACGGCCUUCGGGUUGUAAACCGCUUUCGCCUGUGACGAAGCGUGAGUGACGGUAAUGGGUAAAGAAGCACCGGCUAACUACGUG
rnacentral:rRNA from 1 species